GGAGGGGUGACUAGUGACAGAGGGAGGGGGUGACACAGUGACAGAGUGAGGGAGAUGGUGACUAGUGACAGAAUGAGGGAGGUGGUGAAUGCCACUAGUCACCCCAUCCCUCCCUCUGUCACUAGUCACUCCCUACCUAACUCUGUCACUAGUCACCUCCUUCCUCACUCUGUCACUAGUCACCCCCUCCCUCUGUCACUAGUCAUCCCCUCCC